AAGGUCCCAAGGGUCGGGCUGUUCGCCCGUUAAAGCGGUACGCGAGCUGGGUUCAGACCGUCGUGAGACAGGUCGGUCUCUAUCCGCUGUGGGCGUAAGGGAUUUGAGAGGAGCUGCCCCUAGUACGAGAGGACCGGGGUGGACAGACCUCUGGUGUGCCAGCUGUCGUGCCAACGGCAUCGCUGGGUAGCUAUGUCUGGCAGAGAUAACCGCUGAAAGCAUCUAAGUGGGAAACUCGCCUCAAGAUGAGAUCCCUCACGACGUCAAGUCGGUAAGACCGCAGGAAGACUACCUGCUUGAUAGGCGGCAAGUGUAAGCACAGUAAUGUGUUGAGCUAAGCCGUACUAAUGGUCGAGGGCUUUCCC
rnacentral:rRNA from 1 species